ACUUAUUCCUAGAAAAAGGGAGCUACUAAAAGACCUUGGUCAGUCUCGAAGACUUGUUGGCAAUCUUAACUACUCACAAUUACACGUUCAGACAUUUCAUUUACUGUAAGUGUGGUUAGCCAAUUUCUUCAAGCUCCUUGCGAUAGUGAUUGAAAAGUAGUAGUCCACAUCCUUAGGUAUAUCCAAGAGCUCCAGGGCAAGGUUUGUUAUAUGAAGAAUGAGGACAUACACAUAUUGUUGGGUAUUCUGAUGUAGAUUGGGCAGGUUAUCCCCUAGAUAGAUGAUUUAUUUAGGAUAUAGUAUCUUAAUUGAGAAAUCUAAUAUGGAGGAGACAAACAAAUUAAAUUGAUUUGUGACAAUCAAGUAGUCCUAUGUAUUAUCUCAAAUCUCGUAUUUCAUGAAAGAACAAAACAUGUAAAGAUAGACUAUCAUUUCAUCAGACAAAAGAUUGAGUUAGUAUGUAUUGCUAAUCAUUUUCUCUCCUUAAAUAAUUAGUUGGCAG
rnacentral:misc_RNA from 1 species